GAGGCCCACGCCAACAGUUGCCAGCAUGUCCUCCGGGAUGGUGGGGACACUGUUGGGACCGCCUCUGCUAAAGAGGAGGAAGGAAUGGGCAACGGUAGGUCAGCAUGCCCCGAAUUAUCCGGGCUACACGCGGGCUACAAUGGUCAGGACAAUGGGUAUCGACACCGAGAGGUGAAGGCAAUCUCUUAAACCUGUCCUUAGUUCGGAUUGUGGGCUGCAACUCGCCCACAUGAAGCUGGAAUCCGUAGUAAUCGCGUCUCAAAAUGGCGCGGUGAAUAU
rnacentral:rRNA from 1 species